rnacentral:rRNA from 1 species
UACGAAGGGGGCUAGCGUUGCUCGGAAUCACUGGGCGUAAAGCGCACGUAGGCGGGUCGUAAGUCAGGGGUGAAAUCCUGGAGCUCAACUCCAGAACUGCCCUUGAUACUGGCGAUCUCGAGUUCGGGAGAGGUGAGUGGAACUGCGAGUGUAGAGGUGAAAUUCGUAGAUAUUCGCAAGAACACCAGUGGCGAAGGCGGCUCACUGGCCCGAUACUGACGCUGAGGUGCGAAAGCGUGGGGAGCAAACAGGG